AACUGCAACUUCAUCUCGUAGAACUUCUGGCCUUAGCACUCGCAGGUCCCUUCUCCGUUGGUGCAGGUGGCCACUUCUUCCGUGGGAUAGCUUUUGGUUACUGUCCUGUCAGAGUGAAUUCUGUCCCAGCAACCUUGGUCCCAACAGAGAACUGAUGCGUCUGGGACCCAGCACACCUUGCUCUCUCCUCCACAAGUUUUUAUUUUGAAAACGUUCAUAUAUUCAUAAAGGUUGAAAGAACAACA